UUUGACAGUUGUUUUGAUUUAUAUUUGUCAUAAUUUUUUCCCUUUUUUUCUUUUUUUAAUGUUUAUUUUUGAGAGAUGGCGAGUACAAGAAGGGGAGGGGCAGAGAGAGAGGCAGACGGAAUCCGAAGCAGGCUCCAGGCUCUGAGCUGUCCGCACAGAGCCCGACACAGGGGGCUCGAACUCCUGAACCACAAGAUCGUGACCUGAGCCCAAGUCGGACACUUAACCGACUGAGCCACCCAGGCGCCCCUGUCAUAAUUUUCUAAAAAGUAGUUUCACUACCUCGUCCGAAAAGAUGGUAGGUUGGAAUGCUGUCACCCUCAUCACACCACUGUAAGCUUGUCAUUCACCUGGAGGAGACACAGAUGAGGGAGUCUGUUUACCGGCUAGAAACAGACCACUUUUCAAGUGUCAGUUUGGUUGGCGGUGCAUGACAAGGGGGUGCGCGGUCACGGGUUUCUGUCCUCCAUCUGCUUCCUGAGAUCCCUGCCUCCUUCCCUCCCACGGGCAGGGCUUCCGUGCAGGUGACGGAGCGGUGAUGGCACGUGCACAUCUGGGAGCAAAGGCGCUCAGUGUGCUGCAGGAUUGGGUGAAAGUUUUCCGAGGCUCAUUAGUGAGCAGUCGUGUACUUUUGCCAAGUUUGGGGGAAGAAGAAAUGUGUGUACCCUAGAGGCCAGGCCCAGGAGGAGAGCACUUUCCCCGCGUUUAUUACAGUGGGACUGUUUCUCUAAUUAGGAGCCUUGGGAACCCAGUGCUGCUACUCUGUGCAGUCCCGCCAUCACAUCAGUUACAAGAGCAGAAGGAAACUAACUCCCAUCUACACCUAAGGGCCCGGAGCUCUUGCAUCUCAUUGCAUUUCCCUGCCGUCCUCCGAUUACACAGUCUCUCGGGAGGGCCUUGUAAUUCCACUCCUACCCAUCUUCAGGUCUCACCGUAGCUUUCCACUGUUGGGGCCUUUCCAGCAGGAGCGGCUCUAUCUUAGGUCAGCUGUGCUUGGUUAGGCUCCCUCGUGUCUACCAGGGGCUGCCAGCUUGGUCCAGUACCUUCACUCAUCACCGUCCAGCAGUCCAGACAAGGCCCGUACCUGCACUGGCUCUUCAAGUCCCUGUCUGUGUCACCUUUGCCUGCACCCGGUUGACCAGUGCAACCACAUGGCUGAGGCCAGAGUGGAAGGUUAGUCAGAGUCACAGAGAAGGGGUGUAGGUACAGGAAGGGGAGGAAAUGGUAGCCAUUUUUGGAGUCACUACAGGGCCAGUGUUUCUACUGGAAGAGUCCAAAUGAGAGAGAAUAGUUUUAGAUAGAUAGUCUUGACAUAUAAUAACGGCACAUGCGUAAACACUUUGGUAAGUUUUAGCCAUUGUGUCCACCUGUGAAGUCAUUACCACAUUCAAGAUGGUGAACUCCCAAAAGAUUUCUCUGUGAACCCUCCAGGCCCUUCCCCCAGGCAAUGACUGGUGUGCUUUUUGUGAAGACAGGUCAGUUUGCAUUUUCUGGAGUUUUCUAUAAAUGAAAUGAUAACAUAC
rnacentral:lncRNA from 1 species